GGUUCAGUAGCUCAGUUGGUAGAGCAAUGGAUUGAAGCUCCAUGUGUCGGUCGGCAGUUCGACUCUGUCCUGAACCA
rnacentral:tRNA from 1 species